rnacentral:rRNA from 1 species
UACGUAGGGACCGAGCGUUGUCCGGAAUCAUUGGGCGUAAAGAGCGUGUAGGCGGCUAUUUAAGUCCUGCGUGAAAUCCUGCGGCUCAACCGCAGACGGUCGUGGGAAACUGGAUGGCUAGAGUGCGGGAGAGGAGAGUGGAAUUCCCGGUGUAGCGGUGAAAUGCGUAGAGAUCGGGAGGAACAUCAGUUGCGAAGGCGGCUCUCUGGACCAGCACUGACACUGAGGCACGAAAGCGUGGGGAGCAAACAGG